rnacentral:rRNA from 1 species
UACGUAGGUGGCAAGCGUUGUCCGGAUUUACUGGGUGUAAAGGGCGUGCAGCCGGGAAGACAAGUCAGAUGUGAAAUCCCGCGGCUCAACCGCGGAACUGCAUCUGAAACUGUUUUUCUUGAGUAUCGGAGAGGUAACCGGAAUUCCUAGUGUAGCGGUGAAAUGCGUAGAUAUAUGGAGGAACACCGGUGGCGAAAGCGGCUCUCUGGUCUGUAACUGACGCUGAGGUUCGAAAGCGUGGGUAGCAAACAGG